rnacentral:rRNA from 1 species
GACGAACGCUGGCGGCGUGCUUAACACAUGCAAGUCGAACGAUGAAGCGGUGCUUGCACCGUGGAUUAGUGGCGAACGGGUGAGUAACACGUGAGUAACCUGCCCUUGGCUCUGGGAUAAGCGCUGGAAACGGUGUCUAAUACUGGAUAUGACUUCAUGCCGCAUGGUGUGGGGUGGAAAGAUUUAUCGGCCAUGGAUGGGCUCGCGGCCUAUCAGCUUGUUGGUGGGGUAGUGGCCUACCAAGGCGACGACGGGUAGCCGGCCUGAGAGGGUGACCGGCCACACUGGGACUGAGACACGGCCCAGACUCCUACGGGAGGCAGCAGUGGGGAAUAUUGCACAAUGGGCGGAAGCCUGAUGCAGCAACGCCGCGUGGGGGAUGACGGCCUUCGGGUUGUAAACCUCUUUUGGUAGGGAAGAAGCCUUCGGGUGACGGUACCUGCAGAAAAAGGACCGGCUAACUACGUGCCAGCCGCCGCCGUAACAC